CUUGCUGGCGGCGUGCUAACACAUGCAAGUCGAGCGAGAAAGUCCCUUCGGGGGCGAGUAGAGCGGCGGACGGGUGAGUAAUACGUGGAUAAUCUUCCCUCGAGCUUGGGAUAACCCUGCGAAAGUGGGGCUAAUACCGGAUAAGGCCACAUGGCAUAAGUCAUGGGGUAGAAGGUGGCUUAUAUUUAUAUGAGCUAUCACUUGAGGAUGAGUCCAUGGCCUAUCAGCUUGUUGGUGAGGUAAGAGCCCACCAAGGCUAUGACGGGUAGCUGGUCUGAGAGGACGACUAGCCACACUGGGACUGAGACACGGCCCAGACUCCUACGGGAGGCAGCAGUGGGGAAUAUUGGGCAAUGGGCGAAAGCCUGACCCAGCGACGCCGCGUGGGUGAUGAAGGCCUUCGGGUUGUAAAACCCUUUCAUGCGGAAAGAACAGCCCUGUAGCGAAUAACUGCAGGGUUUGACGGUACCGCAGGAAGAAGCACCGGCUAACUCCGUGCCAGCAGCCGCGGUAAUACGGAGGGUGCAAGCGUUGUUCGGAAUUAUUGGGCGUAAAGGGCGCGUAGGUGGUUGUGAUAGUCAGAUGUGAAAUCCUUUGGCUUAACUGAAGAACUGCAUCUGAAACUUCAUAACUCGAGUACAGGAGAGGGAAACGGAAUUCCCGGUGUAGAGGUGAAAUUCGUAGAUAUCGGGAGGAACACCAGUGGCGAAAGCGGGUUUCCCUGGCCUGAUACUGACGCUGAGGCGCGAAAGCGUGGGGAGCAAACAGGAUUAGAUACCCCUGGUAGUCCACGCGGUAAACGGUGACACUAGUGUGGGGAGGUGUAAUACCUUCUGUGCCGAGCUACGCGUUAAGUGUUCCGCCUGGGAAGUACGGCCGCAAGGUGAACUCAAUGA
rnacentral:rRNA from 1 species